GGUCUUCUAGAUGGUAGAAAAAUGUGCGGUGCAUUGAUAUCUCUAUGUAAUCCUGACAUGUGGGCCUUUCUUCCAUAUUUCCUGAUAACCCCCUGUAGAAAUAGACAAACACCAAAACUCGUGGAAUUCUGUCGGAUAAAACCCUAAGUCUAGGUGUUAGUUGCAUUUGGAUCCUUUUCUUUAUUUAUUUGAUGAUUAUAUUUGGUACUUAAGGACCGUCAACAACUCCCCCAAGCUUACCUCUUGCUCGUCCCUGAGCAAGGAUGAACUCAAGAGUUUCUGCAGUGGUUUCAUGCCUUAAAAGUACACACACAUUCAAGCAAGAUCUCAUCUCUGAGUUAGAAUAAACUGUUAAGACUUAAAACUUACUCAUUUUACCUUUCACCAUGGGGCUUGUAACCGUCACUUGUGUCUUGAGCAGUUAAAAGAUAGAACGGUCAAGUCGAGCGCCAUGUCUCUUGUUCUUUGAUUAACUAUGGCUCUGGAGUUUUUGCAGAUUUUCAAAUAAAACUCAGAGAUUCCUUGUAUGACUCUCUCAAAUCUCUCUUUUGUGGUGUUUCCGGAUCCUUUCCAAGGCAGUAAUGGUAUAUGCCUUCUCUCAAAGUAUGUGGUAUUUUUGGUAUGAGGCAUAGUGAUAUUGCUUUCUCUCUCACCCUACUCUAAUAAGGUUUUGAUAUCUGGAGCUCAUAGGUGGGAGACAGAUAAUACAUACUUAUAAGACAUUUAUUGCAUAGUCAAACUAUGGAUCCAGAGAAACAAGUCAAUAAGUCAAAUCAAGAUGUGCAUGUGUGGCGAGUGAAUAGUGUAUGAUGAUGAUGGUGAUAACAAUGGUGAAAGUCUAAUUCUACUUAUUGCUCUUUUUAGAGGUUACAUACCUUUCUUGCACUUUGAAGCUUUUUGAGGAGAAUGAGAUGCUCUAUAUUUUCUUUUUUCUUUCCUCUCAGGUGGGUAUCUUGUACCCCUAAUUCUACUGUCGCACACUUGUCCAUUUUUACCUCUCGUCUCACUUUUUCUUUUCUUCGAGGUUCCGGGCACUUGCCCCUUUUUAUUUCCUCGUAUUAUUUUUUUUCUCUUUCUUUUAGAGCACUCAUCUCGUGAAAGAAUGUAGCAAGUGGUAGUAACCAAGAUAACUCGAGCAUUUAUUCCAUCGGGAAAAACAGAAAUAUUUUUAGCCAUUCUUUCCCGGAUUAGGAGUAGAAUGUUUUUGGGUGGUUCUGGAGAUGGAAAUGAGUGGAUAUAUGUGGAUGGUACUUCCGGAGUAGAAGUAGCAUAUAUGAGUGAACGUGCAAGUGAAUCUUGAUUUUAACCACAUGACAAGCUCCUAAGGGUCUACACAGCUUGACCACACUCAAUGCUCGAAAGCAGUAAAAAGUAAAUGUGUGGCUCAAAGUCUAAUAAGCAUGUAUAUAUAUGGCUGUGGUAGGAUUUUAAACUCUCAUCAUACAGGAACUCAUCAUGUGUUAUUUUAAAGAUUUUUCAAAGAUGAAAUUCUCCAGAAUUCUAGCAUAUCUAGGAACAGAUAAACAAUAACUCAACCUUCUCAUAUCAUAUCCGUUAACGACUUAGACUUUAGAUCAAGUACUCUUCCCACAAGUUUAGGUUUAGAGCAAAUCUUACUUCAUAACAGUCAUGCCUAAACUUGAGAGAGAUUUCAAUUUUAAGAACUAGUCUUGGCAGAGCAACUAUUCAUCAUUUCCAUGUGAGAGUUUAUCAUGAGGGUUCAUAGCAAACUUUAUUUAUUUAUUUAUUUAGCAAACUAAGCAAAUAUAUAUAUAUAUAUAUAAAAGCACAAAAUCUUUAUUUGGGUUUUCAUGAUUAUGCAUCUUUUAUUAUUUGAGUAAAGUAUAAACGCGAGUAGAAACACUUAGCUGGAUAAAUGGGGGUGCUCUCCCCCAAGCUGGAUUUUGACGUAAUUUCUUCUGAUGUAGCUAGCAGGUGAUGGAGGUGUAUUUGAAAGUCGGCAGCACCCUGACAGUGAUUAGGAUGUCCUCCGUCUGCUAGUCUUUUUUUUUAUCCUUGAAUCCUGUGGAGCUCAAAUAGACAACAAUGCUUUGUGGAUCUAGUUAAGUGUUAGCAUAAAUAUCUAGCCUUUAUCAUGUUGAGCCUCCUCAAUAAAUAUUACUUAUUUAGCAGGAUCAUGCACUUAUUAUUUUUAUAUUUUUAUUGUAAGAUGAAAACUUAUUUAUUUUAUGCCACCACAGUGAAUGUACCUAUGGGUUUUAUGCCAUGAGCAUACUCACAUGGGGCUUACUAUUUUUUAACAUGUUUAUUUUCUUUUCAAGAUAGCAUGAACCUGAUUAACUAAGCAAACUGUAACUGAAUAAUUGAAAGGAAAAGGAUAACUACCAAGUUUAUCUCUUGGCAAGGCGUUCUGUGUUUUUAAGUCCUCCGAAUGGGACUCUCCGUUUUCAGUCGUCCUAGGAUUCGCUGGAUGGCGUAGUCGGUAGUUCCGGUGGCGCCUCCUCUUCGUGUAUAACUAUCUUCUCAUUCCACACCUGACUCAGUGCUAUGGUCUCCUCAGGACAGUUCUGUUAAAGCUGUAUGUCUUUAGACCUUAUCACUUCUCCUUCGUAGUCUACCCAUUCAUCCUUGAUGAUUUGCCUCCUCUGGUUUCGGUUGCGUCGCCUUCUUCUUGUCUUGACCUGCUUAGAGUCUUCAACUAUAUAGUUAGAAUCAUUAAAGUAGUGGCGUACCUUCUUAGAGGGGAAGUGCAUGUGGACCUCUCCGGUUCCAAUAUAGAUGAUGGCUUUGACAGUGUUGAGGAACGGUCUUAUAAAGAUGAUGGGUGGAUCGUAUUCGUCUUCUCCCAUGUCAAUGACAUGAAAAUCAUCUGGAGCUGAAUGUAUGUUGGCUGUAGGGGCAUAAUUCCAUGUAGGAGCUGAUAAGUGACUGCGACCAUUAUGUUGUCGUCAGAUCCGGUGUCGUAGAGUGUCUUCUGAAAAGAGUAUCCAUUGAUUGUGCAUUCGAUGCAUGGAACCCCAGGGUCGUCCUUCUUGAUCAGGAAAGGCGACUUGAGUCGAUGAUCUUGACCUCCUCCGACAAGGAUCCAAUGUUUUAAGUCUUCUGGACAAGACAUCUCACUGUCUUCAUCCUUUAGGUGCAUCAUUUGAUUAGGUGUGUGUAACACCCCAGUGUUAUGGUUGCAUCAAACAUGUGCAUAGCAUGAGCAUCACCAUUUAUUCAAAGCAUCCAUGAUCAUCAUCUAUCUUGAGACAUGUCAUCCUUUGC
rnacentral:lncRNA from 1 species